UACGUAGGUGGCAAGCGUUGUCCGGAAUUACUGGGUGUAAAGGGAGCGUAGGCGGGCAGGCAAGUCAGGCGUGAAAGAUAUCGGCUCAACCGGUAGCUGCGCUUGAAACUGCAGGUCUUGAGUGAAGUAGAGGUUGGCGGAAUUCCUAGUGUAGCGGUGAAAUGCGUAGAUAUUAGGAGGAACACCAGUGGCGAAGGCGGCCAACUGGGCUUUUACUGACGCUGAGGCUCGAAAGUGUGGGGAGCAAACAGG
rnacentral:rRNA from 1 species